rnacentral:lncRNA from 1 species
CUCAGCAUUUGAUGAAUGACAUAAAUGAGCUCUGAUACUUUAAAAAGCCUCAGUGAAGAGUAGUUGCUAGUAGUCAUUGCACUGAAGAAGGACCCCAGCUAGAAAAGCCUUGACUCUUAUUUUGUAAUGAUGCAUCCAAUUGAGGAAACAGGAAUUCCAGGAGCUGCUCUGCCUGGGGUUAAAUACCUUUCCUUCUUGCUGAAGGUGUCCCAGACCACCAGCUGUGGAGAUGACUACCACAAGCAACAUGAUGUGCGGAAACAGACUGAUUUCUCCUGCUACUUCUUUUGGUACAGAACCUUUUCCCCCAUAAUAUCUUCACUCAAGAUUUUCAGAGGCCUACAUUUAUUUGCAUUUCUUUCCUCAGUGUGGACAACAAAGAAUUCCUCCAGAGCCACUGUGUUUUGUCUCAACUGACUUCAUGAGAAACUGAGGUUCUUAUGUUUGCUGUUGGGAAAUGCAGAAGCCCAUUUGAGAGAUUUAUGUAGUUAGGAAAAUGUACAAGCCACGCAUGUACAGCCCCACACAGCUGUAAUGAUUGUCUGCAGUCUGUCUCACCUGCCUCUGUGAAGUGUUUAGUCAGGCUUUGAUCAUCUUCAUUUUGGCUAUUCCAGUGCUGUCAGUGUGAAGUGGUGGAGCAUAAAGUAGUUGAUGUGUCUGUAUCCUGCUUUAAAAUUGUCAGCUUGUGAACACAUGGUAGAAUGUUUCAACACAAACUCAAAAGCACAAAUGAUUUUCUGACAAGAUGAGAUAAAAGCAUAGUGAAAAGCAACUGGUCAGAAUUUACUGGGAUGUUUGUAGAGCAUUUUGCAGAACAAGACAGAAAGACAGUAUUGUAAAUGAAUGACAAGGAAUCCCUGCUGAAAUUCAUUCCUCAUAUUUUCUGCACAAAUGGUUUAGACCCAGGAAAUUUUCUGGUUUUGUAACUUUUUGUUGGUUUGUUGUUUCAGUUUGUGUUGGUUUUUUUUUCUUUCUUCUCAUGUAAGUAAUACAGUUAACAUAGUAAGUGGAUUCAGAUUAAAAUCUACAAAGCUC